rnacentral:ncRNA from 1 species
UUCCGAGAGAGAGCGGGGAAAACCGGCCGCCGAAGAGGCAAACCCAAGCUGCAACGGUAAGAACGGUGAGGGCGAAACUUUCAGGCAGAAGGAUCGGGAA